rnacentral:rRNA from 1 species
GAUGAACGCUGGCGGCGUGCCUAAUACAUGCAAGUCGAGCGAACGGACGAGAAGCUUGCUUCUCUGAUGUUAGCGGCGGACGGGUGAGUAACACGUGGAUAACCUACCUAUAAGACUGGGAUAACUUCGGGAAACCGUAGCUAAUACCGGAUAAUAUUUUGAACCGCAUGGUUCAAAAGUGAAAGACGGUCUUGCUGUCACUUAUAGAUGGAUCCGCGCUGCAUUAGCUAGUUGGUAAGGUAACGGCUUACCAAGGCAACGAUGCAUAGCCGACCUGAGAGGGUGAUCGGCCACACUGGAACUGAGACACGGUCCACACUCCUACGGGAGGCAGCAGUAGGGAAUCUUCCGCAAUGGGCGAAAGCCUGACGGAGCAACGCCGCGUGAGUGAUGAAGGUCUUCGGAUCGUAAAACUCUGUUAUUAGGGAGGAACAUAUGUGUAAGUAACUGUGCACAUCUUGACGGUACCUAAUCAGAAAGCCACGGCUAACUACGUG